rnacentral:lncRNA from 1 species
CAAAGAGCAGAGCCCAUCUCCUAGGAGCCGGCCCUGUCCCGCGCUGCAGCCCGGCCCCCGGGAGGCCCUGGAUCCCGCCGCCUCCCAGAUGCCUGCAGAGGGCGUCCGUGUCCGCAGAGCCAGCCCGCGGCCUACCCAGCCGUGCGGGAGGUGGCUGCUUGGCUGCUCCCGUUAGGUGGCUGAACUCGCCAGCCAGACGGCAUUCAGAAUACGGAAGCAGAAAGAUCUGCAGGCGGCUGCGUACCCUGGCUGUGAAUUAUUAUUCCGAGCACAUGGCUGUUGUAAAAUUACACUAUCUGCUUAUGUAGGAAGGGAGAAACGCAGUCAUUAUUUAUGUGGCUCAAUGAUCCCGUUUACGUGUUUCUUUUCUUCAUAUUCAGUGUCCACUGCUCCCUGGCUCUGCGUGCACCGUGCUUAGAGAAGGAGGCUGAAAGAACUCCAAAAGCCUGGAGAAGAGAAGGCUGUGAGGUGACCUGAUAGUGGCCUUUCGGUAUCUAAAUGGGAGCUACAGGAAAGAAGGGAACAGACUCUUUCGCGGGGUCUGUGGUGAUAGAAUAAGGGGAAAUGGCUUCAAGCUUCAAGGGGGUAGAUUUUGGUGGGAUAUAAGGAAAAAAUCUUUUACAGUGGGGGUGGUGAGGCACUAGCAAAGGUUGCCGGAGAUGUGGUUAGUGCUCCAUCCCUGAAGGCUUUCAAGGCAAGGCUGGAUCUGGUCCCUGAUCUAGCUGUGCAUGUUCCUGUUCAUUGCAGGGGAGUUGGACUAGCUGACCUUUAAAGGUCCCUUCCAACUCUAAGGAUUCUGUGAUUCUAUGAUUCUGUGAUACAGGAGUAUCACUUCGUUGGUCAGGGAUUUGAAAAUGAUGGCUCUAUGUCCUGCAAGAUGUGGCAGGCUCUGAGGUACUGAGACAUGACUUCCUAUGCACAGCAUAGUGCAUAAGGUCACUUUUUGUUUAAUGCAUGGACUUGCAGUGUAAGAAACACUCUGGCUGAGACCACUGUUUUGCCUUUUGUGCAAACUCAACCUUUCUGAAGUGCUUUCUCAACUUGCACUCACAAAGGUGGGUGCAGGCACAGCUUGGCUUGGCCUCUCAGAGGUAUCAUCCUAUUGACUCCACACAGAGUGGAUUUCACAGGCACCUUCGACACUAUCUAUCUUUGGUACUAGAACUGAUAAAGGGAGAUUCAAGCCAUCGUAGAGUAUGUACUAUAUAUGCUGCCACCCUGUCCUCUACCUAUUUUCCUACCUACACAUUAACAAACUAACUUACAUUCAUUUCUUCUCUAAAUUUGAGAAAAUUGUGGAUGAAAUCACAUGGUAUAGUGAACAGAAUGUGGUUUGAUGUGGGAUUUUGCAGCCUGUGGAUGAAUAGUUGUGCUGGCACUGCCGUGCAGUGUGUUCCUGGGCUGGGGGUGAGGUGAUAGCAUGAGGAUCAUGAUUGCUGCACAGCUUCUUUCCCUCAGUGGCUCAAAGGCAGUGCACAGGUAGAAAGAUAAAUGUUUGUGUUUUGUGAGUCUGUUAUGCCCAUGGUGGAUAAAGGGCUGGAUAAAUCCUCCUGGCUGUCUAAUGAAGAAAACAGUGCUUCACUAAUAUUUGCCAAGUCCACCUGGGAGUCAUCAGUAUGCAGCUGUGUCCUCCAUCCUCUCCCUUCAAGCUGGGAUUUAACUACUGCCUUUUCUGCUUUCUACAAACGUUGAUUUUCACUUGUCCAUCGGAUGAAUAUUAACUGGCAGCUGGAAAGCUGCUCCUGGUACACCUGAGCUACUGCCCUGGCUCCCACUUUGCUCAACUGAUGUGUUAUAGGUUUUAAUAAAUGCAAACAGAAAAGAAGGAGGCAACAUGUUUGAACAACCAGUGGUUAUCUUGGAAAUGCUGGGAUGGAUGCCUCUUCUUGCAGGGCAUAGAUUUGGGCAAAAUAUUAAAAAAUUAUUAAGCUGUGUUCUCUGCAUGUUAGAAUAUGCCGAUAUACAUUUUGUAAAUAUAGGUCACCAUUGUUAUUUGAUAUUUACUUUGUAAUGCAGUGGAUCUCCUUAUGUACAAGGUAGUGACAUCAGAAGACAUUUUGAGUCUAAAGGGCAAUAUGUCUGGAAUAAAUAAUAUUUCUUAUUCCAGGAAUUGUUUAUUCUGAGUAACAGGAAUACUUCUGAAUUAUUAUCUUGACAUGAUGCUCUAUGUCACCCAGUCCCUUUUCUGUCAUAUUUCUCUCAUUAACCCUCUUGAGCUGUCCAGCAAUGAUGAGCUUUUUCCAGUAAUAAGAAAUAUGAAUUUGUAUUACCACUGUAUGUGCCUACACUCUGCAGAGAUCCUCUGUAGUUCGUGGCCUCAAUAGAGCAGCACUGUUUUAUCUCUAAAUGUAACAUUUUGUCCAUUUUUCACACAUUGCAUUUUACUUUUCUGCUGCAAGAAGGAUCAAAUGAAAACAACGGAUUUGCUUUCAGAUAUAUGUCCCUGUUUAAAUCAGUUACUCAGGUGAGUAGUGACUUCAGGUACCUUUGUGCCUCUAAACAUUUUUAUGACAAGGUCUGGAUCCCUUCAAUUUCUUAGAUUAAAAAAAAAAAAAAAAAAGGAAAAAAAAGCAUUCAAAAAGAUUUGUUCUAAUCUCAUUUUCACCUCUCUGUAUGAGCUUGCCAAAUCUCCCAGCAGAUCUCAUUACUGUGGAGGUUUUGUACAGUUCCAGUCAAAAGAUUCAUUUGAUUUUGAGCAAAACCUAGCCUUCUACCAAAACAAAAUCUACAGUAAUAAUAGUAAUAAUAACAAUAAUUAUAAUAAAAAGAAAAAAAGGAUUCAUGGCCUAUGUGACUGAGCACAAAACCCCAGACACUUAACAAACAAAUAGAAUAAAAGGACAAACAAACAAACAAAGAAAUAUUGUUUUUCCACUUUCAUGAUUAUUAAUAAAAAAUUUCUCUCUUGUGGGUUUUAACACAGGCUUUAUAAGUGUUUGAGAUUGCCAAAAUUACAUCCCAACUUCAUGAAAGCUUAUUUAAUUAUCACUUCCGUAAGCUGAUAGUACAUUUUAAGGACAACAUACUAUUCCAGCCAGCUAAGAAAAAGAGAGAGGUGGAUCUUGGAUGUAAUGAUGCAUGGAGGAGGUACUUCUGGGACAUCUGAACUCCAAGGAAGAGCAAUAAAAAGGAGUUUCAGAAUUGCCAUUGAACUGUGACUCUCAAUAGCUCAUCUGAAUGAUGCUUCAAGAUCAUCUUCAUUUACUUACUUAGAGAAGGUGUUUGAGUCCAUGAGUCCACGCACAUGCUGGGUCUACACAUGGGACAUCCUAAUAUAUUUUGAACUCUAUGAGAAUUGGAAGAGAUAGCUUGUUGGCAAAAACUUGAUUACUGGAUUGUUUUAAAAGUGGAAUAAAUUAACUCUUAUGUUGAAUUGAAUUACGUUGACUUACUUACUUUUUAGAAAUCUGCUCAGAUCAAACCAAGGAGGGCUGAAAACUUCAUGGAAUCACAGAAUCCUAGGGGUUGAAAGGGACCUCGGAAGAUCUUCUGGCUCCUACACAUAGCAAUAGGUAUGGUGCUGUAUCACCUUAUUGACUCUGCUACAAUUUAUCCACAUUCUGGCAUCAGUUCAAAGGAUGCCGGAAUAUGAGACCAUUUAAAAGCUAAGCAAAUUAGAGUGUCAGUAGAAUAGCAGCUAAAUGCAUAUGUAAGCACUUCAGUACAAGUGAACUGCUUUCAAGCACCUGCAGCUCCCCUGAAUUCAGUACAAGAAAUCUUAGGAAGUUAGGUUACAAAUUCCUAGGGAUAACAAAGCCCCAGUCCCCUAAAACAUAGGUUUCUAAAACACAGCCCAAGUCUAACAGUAUCUUGUGGAGUUGGAAGCUUUAAAUAGAGAACAUGAGGUCAUGUCCUCAUUGCUACACAACCAUUCUUGUUAGCAAUUCAACACUACCCCGAGAUGCUGUUUCUCAAAAACGUAUUUUCUUCUUUUCUGUUAUUCCUCUCUCUUUUUUUUUCUCCUUGAUUUUUAUCUAUUUUACUUGUUUAUUUAAUAGAGUUUUUGCUUUA